rnacentral:rRNA from 1 species
GGGGAAUAUUGCACAAUGGGGGGAAACCCUGAUGCAGCGACGCCGCGUGGAGGAAGAAGGUCUUCGGAUUGUAAACUCCUGUUGUUGGGGAAGAUAAUGACGGUACCCAACAAGGAAGUGACGGCUAACUACGUGCCAGCAGCCGCGGUAAAACGUAGGUCACAAGCGUUGUCCGGAAUUACUGGGUGUAAAGGGAGCGCAGGCGGGAAGACAAGUUGGAAGUGAAAUCUAUGGGCUCAACCCAUAAACUGCUUUCAAAACUGUUUUUCUUGAGUAGUGCAGAGGUAGGCGGAAUUCCCGGUGUAGCGGUGGAAUGCGUAGAUAUCGGGAGGAACACCAGUGGCGAAGGCGGCCUACUGGGCACCAACUGACGCUGAGGCUCGAAAGUGUGGGUAGCAAACAGGAUUAGAUACCCUGGUAGUCCACACCGUAAACGAUGAUUACUAGGUGUUGGAGGAUUGACCCCUUCAGUGCCGCAGUUAACACAAUAAGUAAUCCACCUGGGGAGUACGACCGCAAGGUUGAAACUCAAAGGAAUUGACGGGGGCCCGCACAAGCAGUGGAGUAUGUGGUUUAAUUCGACGCAACGCGAAGAGCCUUACCAAGUCUUGACAUCCCUUGACAGACAUAGAAAUAUGUAAUCUCUUCGGAGCAAGGAGACAGGUGGUGCAUGGUUGUCGUCAGCUCGUGUCGUGAGAUGUUGGGUUAAGUCCCGCAACGAGCGCAACCCUUAUGGUCAGUUACUACGCAAGAGGACUCUGGCCAGACUGCCGUUGACAAAACGGAGGAAGGUGGGGAUGACGUCAAAUCAUCAUGCCCUUUAUGACUUGGGCUACACACGUACUACAAUGGCGUUAAACAAAGAGAAGCAAGACCGCGAGGUGGAGCAAAACUCAGAAACAACGUCCCAGUUCGGACUGCAGGCUGCAACUCGCCUGCACGAAGUCGGAAUUGCUAGUAAUCGUGGAUCAGCAUGCCACGGUGAAUACGUUCCCG